GAAGUCGUCCGUCCGUCCCUCAGUCCGUCCGUCCGCGAAGGCUUUCUGUUGCGGCUAGCAAAGCUGCUGAAUCACGCAGGAUGAGUCAGAGAGGAGAGGACUGAAUUCUGGCCAGAGGGCACUGUGCCUGUAAAUGCCUGGAGGCUCGCUGCAACCAUGGAACACUUGGAAGAUGAAUUCAGUUCUCUUUCCGUUUACAAGUUUACACACACAUGGAGCCAGCCAGGUACCUUCUGCCAUGCAAACCAGUGAAUGAACUUUCUCAUCUGCUUCCCUGCCCUCUCUGCGCCAUCGUACCACAAACAGGAUAAGGGUGUAUCAGAUUUGAAUGGAGCCUUAAAGAAUAUACGAGCUACUCUCUACAAAAACCUGGCCGAGUGGACACUGGAAGUCAGAGGACCCAAACUCAGCCUAGUGAGACCAGGACAACAACAAAGAAACAUGCUGAAGAAUCUCUGUCUACUUUCUCCCUCCCUCUCUCUCUAUAUAUAUGGUGGGAAAAAGCAAAGACAACAAAUAAUAACUGGGUACCUACUACACAAGCUAAGGUUAUGCUGGGGACCAUCCUUGUCCUCAGGGAACCCUAAUCAGGAAGGUAACAAAGGCAAGUGAACAUUUGUGCCGUAUAUCUGAUCACUUAUGAUGGAACAUGAUGGAGGAUAAGGUGAAAAAGAAAGAAUGUAUAACUGGGGUACUCGGCUAGACAGCAGAAAUUGAUAGAACAUUGUAAAUCAACUAUAAUAAAACAUUUUAAAUAAGACA
ensembl:lncRNA